ACGCUCGACACCUAUGGGAGGCAGCAGUAGGGAAUCUUCCACAAUGGGCGCAAGCCUGAUGGAGCAACACCGCGUGAGUGAAGAAGGGUUUCGGCUCGUAAAGCUCUGUUGUUGGAGAAGAACGUGCGUGAGAGUAACUGUUCACGCAGUGACGGUAUCCAACCAGAAAGUCACGGCUAACUACGUGCCAACAGCCGCGGUAAUCUGAGCGGGCUGGCAAGGC
rnacentral:rRNA from 1 species